UACGUAGGGGGGCAAGCGUUGUCCGGAUUUAUUGGGCGUAAAGAGCGUGUAGGCGGCCAGAUAAGUCCGCUGUGAAACUCGUCGAGGCUCAACUUCGAGCUGUCGGUGGAAACUGUCUGGCUAGAGUCCGGAAGAGGAGAAUGGAAUUCCUGGUGUAGCGGUGAAAUGCGCAGAUAUCAGGAAGAACACCCGUGGCGAAGGCGGUUCUCUGGGACGGUACUGACGCUGAGACGCGAAAGCGUGGGGAGCGAACAGG
rnacentral:rRNA from 1 species